rnacentral:lncRNA from 1 species
AAGAGAAAAGAAAAACAAAAGAGAAAAAUGCACUUGCCGAGACUUAAGACUCUAACACAUAUAAAAUGCUCAGAAAAUUUGAGUAGAAAAAGAGUCAAUAGAGUGAAAUUAACCCCCAGAGUAUACGUGAUGCAAGAGAAAAAGAGAAAGAAAAAUCACACAACAUGACUACCGAGUUCAAAACCCUUUGUUAUCCAACUUUUUUUUGUUUAUCCCACCGUACCCAAGCC